rnacentral:rRNA from 1 species
AACGUAGGACGCAAGCGUUAUCCGGAGUUACUGGGCGUAAAGCGCGGGCAGGCGGUCUUGCCAGUCUGAUGUGAGAUCUCCUCGCUCAACGGGGAGCAGCCAUUGGAAACUACAAGACUGGAGUCUGACAGAGGUAGGCGGAAUUCCGGGUGGAGUGGUGAAAUGCGUAGAGAUCCGGAGGAACACCAGAGGCGAAGGCGGCCUACUGGGUCAGUACUGACGCUGAGCCGCGAAAGCCAGGGGAGCGAACGGG